rnacentral:lncRNA from 1 species
GUGCGGUGGGCGUGGCCGCUGGUGCGGUGGGCGGCGCCGGGGGCGGAGCUCCGGCUGUGGCUGCCCCUGACCGACCUGCGCCCCCCCCCCGCCCGCGCCCCCCCGCCCCGGCGCCGCCCCGAGAGCCUCCGGGCGCACCUGGGGAGACCCCGCGGCUGGGCGGGGCCGGGGGGCGGGGCCAUGGCCUGCGAGCACGUGGAAGGUGAGCAGGGGGAGGGGAAUUGCGGGGUCAUGACCCCCCCGUGACCCCCCCAUGACCCCCCCGUGACCCCCCCGUGACCCCUGUGCCCUCAGUGACGUACGAGGCCGAGGACAUGGGGACCCUCCCCUGCCUGAGCGCCGAGCCGGGGCCCGGCCCGGGGGGCCCCCGCAGCGUCCCCACGUGAGCGGGGGGGUCUUUGGGGGUCUUGGGGGGUUUUUAGAGGGGCCUGGGGGUCUUUGGGGGGUUCUUGGGGGGGGCCUGGGGGUCUUUGGGGGGUCUUGGGGGCUUUUUCGGGGGGGCUGGGGGGUCUUUGGGGGCUCUGAAGGGUCCUGGGGGUGUCUGGGUGGUUCCUGGGGGUCUGUGAUAUGUUUUGAGGGGUCCUGGGGGUCACUCAGGAUCCAUUUUUGGGGAGCGCCCCUCCCCCAGGGGCCCGUGGGGGGGAUUUGGGGGUCCCCCCCCCCCCCCUCCGAUGCUGACCCCCCCCCGCCCCUCCCCCCAGGCUGGAGGUGACGGUGACCCCGACCCCCCCGCGGGGCCCCCCCGCGCCCCCCCCGAGCCCCUUCUCGGCCCGGCGCAGCAUCUACGAGAGCCGCGAGGUGGGACCCCCCCCAAAUUCCCUGGGGGGCCGCUGGGGGUCCCCAAAAUUCCCCCUGGGGGUCUCGGGGGGAGUCCCCAAAAUUCCCCCUGGGAGUCUCGGGGGGGUCCCCAAAUCCCCACGGGGGUCUCGGGGUCCCCCCCAGCCCCCGUAGCCGCCGCCCCUCCCCCAGCUGGUGCUGCCCGGGACCCCCGAGGAGUUGGGGGCGUUCGUGGGGGGGGCCCUGGGCGGGGCCCCCUGGAACCUGCAGGUGACACUGCCCCGAGCACACCUGAGCCUGAGCCCGGGGGGGCUCCUGCAGCGCCUCUACAGCAGGAUCAACAACGACCUCCUGCUGUGGGAGCCGGCCGGCCCCGCCCCCUCCGGAGACCACGCCCACUCCGGAGACCACGCCCCUUCAGGGGUCCACCCCCACUCUGGAGACCACGCCCCCUCCAUAGACCACGCCCCACCAGAAGGCCCCGCCCCCUUCAGGCCGUGCCGGUCGGCGCUGGGCUCAGACUCGGACGAGGACGACGAGGAUGAGGAUGAGGAGGGGGACAAAGGUUCCGGGGGGUCCCCGCAGGACCCCGGGGACCCCCGCGGGCCCCCCCCGAGCGGCGGCGCCAUCCUGGUCACCGUGCCCUGGGGGCGCGUCACGGCCGAGUGUCCCCCCGAGGUGAGGGCAUGGGGGUCCCCAAUGUCACCUGGGGUCACCCGGGGUCACCCUGGGGGUCCCCAAUGUCACCUGGGGUCACCCGGGGUCACCCUUGGGGUCCCCAAUGUCACCCGGGGUCACCCGGGGUCACCCUGGGGGUCCCCAAUGUCACCUGUGUCACCCUGGGGGUCCCCAAAUGUCACCCGGGGUCACCCGGGGUCACCCUGGGGGUCCCAAACAUCACCCAGGGUCACUCUGGGUGUCCCUAACGUCACCUGGGGUCGCCCUGGGGGUCCCAAAUGUCAUCUGUGUAACCCUGGGGGCCAUCAAAUGUCACCUGGGGUCACCCGGGGUCACCCUGGGGGUCGCCAAGAGUGUCCCCAGGGGCUGUGGGGGAGGGGCAGGGUGUGACACGUUUUCGGGGUGUCCCCAGGGGGGGAGGGGCAGGGUGUGACACGUUUUUGGGGCGUCCCCGGGGGGGAGGGGCAGGGUGUGACACAUUUUUGGGGCGUCCCCAGGGGGGGGUCCCCGGCUCGCGGCUGGAGCUGGAGUUGGGGGAGGGGCGGCUCUGCGUCCUCCCCCGCCCGGGGGGGGUCCGGGGCCGGUCCUGGGCCUGCGCCGACGCCCGGAGCUUCGUCCUGCUGCACGGUACCCCAAAAAUUCCCGAAACUGCCCCAAAAUGGCCCUAAAACUGCCCCAAAACCACUCCAAAACCGCCCCAAAAACUGCCCCAAAACUGCCCUUAAAACUGCCCCAAAAACCACCCCAAAAACUGCCUCAAAAACCACCCCAAACACCACCCCAAAAACCACCCCAAAACCACCCCAAAAAACACCCUAAAACUGCCCCAAAACUGCCCCAAAAACUGCCCCAAAACCGCCCCAAAACUGCCCCAAAACCACCCCAAAACCGCCCCAAAAACUGCCCCAAAACUGCCCUUAAAACUGCCCCAAAAACCGCCCCAAAACUGCCCCGAAACUGCCCCAAAACCUGCCCCAAAACCACCCCAAAAACUGCCCCAAAACUGCCCCAAAACCGCCCCAAAAAACACCCCAAAAACUGCCCCAAAACCGCCCCAAACCCGCCCCAAAAACCACCCCAAAACUGCCCCAACCCUGCCCCAAAACCGCCCCAAAACUGCCCCAAAACCGCCCUAAAAACUGCCCCAAAACCGCCCCAAAACCGCCCCAAAACCACCCCAAAAACUGCCCCAAAACCGCUCCAAAACCGCCCCAAAACUGCCCCAAAACAGGAAUAGGGGACCCCAAA